rnacentral:rRNA from 1 species
CUGCCGCCGGCGACCGGCGCACGGGUGAGUAACACGUAUGCAACCUGGCCGUGACAGAUGGAUAACCGGGAGAAAUCCCGCCUAAUACAACAUAAUGCCGGGAGGGGACAUCCCCUGCCGGCCAAAGGGGGCGACCCCGGUCACGGAUGGGCAUGCGGCGCAUUAGGUAGUUGGUAGGGUAACGGCCUACCAAGCCGACGAUGCGUAGGGGUUCUGAGAGGAAGGUCCCCCACAUUGGAACUGAGACACGGUCCAAACUCCUACGGGAGGCAGCAG